rnacentral:rRNA from 1 species
UACGUAGGUGACAAGCGUUGUCCGGAUUUACUGGGCGUAAAGAGCGCGCAGGCGGUCGUUCAAGUCGAGUGUGAAAGCCCCCGGCUCAACUGGGGAGGGUCACUCGAUACUGAUCGACUCGAAGGCAGGAGAGGGAAGUGGAAUUCCCGGUGUAGUGGUGAAAUGCGCAGAUAUCGGGAGGAACACCAGUGGCGAAGGCGACUUCCUGGCCUGUUCUUGACGCUGAGGCGCGAAAGCUAGGGGAGCAAACGGG